AUUGGAGAAGGAAAUGGCAACCCACUCCAGUAUUCUUGCCUGGAGAAUCCCAGGGAUGGGGGAGCCUGGUGGGCUGCCGUCUAUGGGGUUGCGUAGAGUUGGACACCACUGAAGUGGCUUAGUAGUAGUACAUGUUCUUAGGUAAGCACCCAAACUCAACAGGAGGCUGGGUAUCCCAAUGCUUGGACAAUACCAAGGAAAGGGGCUAUAUCACCAUUGGAACAGUGGGGCCAGAUCCGAGGCUGACUGAAGUUUACAAUCAGACCAUUAACAAAAAGGGGAAGCCACAAUGUUCCAAAAGAGCAGCAGUACUCCUUUCAGGAAUCACUGUACUCAUGGGCAUGCUAGUGACCUUGGCCCAGGAAAACAAAUAUAACACGUGUCACCAUAAAAAGGUAACAGCCCCCAUGGAGACAAUGGCCAAUUAGUCUUGAUUUCAAUCCGUUAUAAAAGUCUGUUGACUCACUGUUCAGGAUUGUCAUGGAAAACAAAAUUGCCCUAGAUCAGCUGACCAGAUGAGGAUCUAUACAUUAGCCAAUACAAAGUGCUGUUUGUACUUCAAUGAAACUGGCCCGUCUUGCUGUAUCUCACUGUUGGCAGAACCCAGGAUAGGCAAGGCGAGAGUGUGGAAGCUGGAAGAAGAUGUGAGGAGACGUAGAAACUGCAGAUAUUCUUUAUUCACAGCAGCAAGGCAGACAUGCUUUACUCUCUAUGGCUGACAGAGCAGAAACAACAAUUAGGCAACCGGACUUAAGGCGACUCGCCUAAACUUGAUUACAAGAGCUUUUCAGGUGGUGCUUAUUUAGGUUAUGCGCAGUGCUACAAAUGAUCUCAGCUGUUACAUAAUCAUUAUUUACAAAACGUGGGUCAAGAGCUGAGCUGAUAGGGACCCAGAGAGCCUGACCACUGCCAUAUUGGCUAAUUUGCUCUUUCCUUACAUGGCCUAAUUAAAUAAAGUACCGACUACUGGAAGAAGCCACUUAUCUAGCAGAAAUCCAGCAGCCUAAUCUGGCUGGAUAAAUCUGGAGCGGGGCAAAACAGGCCCUCCCUAGCGUCACUUUGUUUCUACUCUUCCUGGGCCCCUUAAUGACCAUUAUUCUCUUGAUAAUAUUUGGGCGAUGCAUGCUAAAUGGUCUCCAAAAGCUUAGAAUCCAUAAAACUCCAAAUGGUGGUUGCUCAGGGAUGUGAACAGUUAGGGCUGAGGCCUGAUGACAAUCAAACACAUCUAAAGGAAGCUGGGGAGAAGUUUUGCUCCUCUACCCGGGGACUAUUAUUACCCACAAAUCAGCAAGGAGUAGUUACUGAAGAAGGACCUGUGCCACUCGGCGCCCCUCAAAAAUCAGGAGCAGGACAAGAUAACCAUUUCAGUUGCUCACGAGGUGCUGCAUGCAGAGGCCUUGCCCCAAGAACUUUGGGCUAAAGUUCCCAGUGUGAAAAAGACACCCACUAUACCUCAAUUCAAGAUGUUGGUGACCUGCCCUCUGCUGAGACCUGGACCCAACUGCACAGCUGUGCCUGUCUCUCGAGAGCUCCGUCACCUCACGAGAACUCUGCUAGCCCUGCGAGAACUCUGCUGGCCCGGCGAGAACUCUGCUAGUACCGCGAGAACUCUCCCCACUGCCUGCCCAGAUCAGAUCAGAUCAGUCACUCAGUCGUGUCCGACUCUUUGCGAC